rnacentral:misc_RNA from 1 species
GGAAGAUCAAAGAGAAAAUGACGAGUCUCCACUUCCUCACUGCUGUUGCUUUCACUUUCUUCCUUACAGCUCAUAUUGCUGCAGCUGGUUCAUCUGUAACUCCCUACCUCUUCAUUUCAUCUAACUAAUUUAAUGCUUUUCAAUCUCAAUUCACUACUCAUCUUUCUAUUCCACCUGAUCCAACUUUUAGAUCGAUCGAGUUUCAUUUUAUUUUAUUUGAUCCUAAUUAUUACUCUUGUUGUAGCUUAUUUGCCUUUCACAUUGAUUUAUUGAUACUAUUGAUUCAUCAUCCAUGUUCCAUUCCUCGAUCUGUUUAUUUUUUGCUUGCAUUUUUAGAUCAUAGCGAGAUCUGCAUCUGUACUAUCAAUGCAAAUAUGCAGUAUUUGGAUUUGAGACACACUGAUUAACAAUGUUUUGGUGCUUGCAGGAAGAGUGUGUGUAUACUCUGUA